rnacentral:rRNA from 1 species
UACGUAGGGGGCUAGCGUUGUCCGGAUUUAUUGGGCGUAAAGAGCGUGUAGGCGGCCAGGUAGGUCUGCUGUGAAAACUCGAGGCUUAACCUCGAGAUGUCGGCGGAAACCAUCUGGCUAGAGUCCGGAAGAGGAGAGUGGAAUUUCGUGUGUAGGGGUGAAAUCCGUAGAUCUACGAAGGAACGCCAAAAGCGAAGGCAGCUCUCUGGGUCCCUACCGACGCUGGGGUGCGAAAGCAUGGGGAGCGAACAGG